rnacentral:rRNA from 1 species
GUGCUAAGGUAGCAUAAUCAUUUGCUUCUUAAUUGGUAGCUGGAAUGAACGGUUUAACUGGUUUAGUAAGUGUGUAGAUUUAAAUAGAAAAUUAAAGUCAAGGUAAGAAUUCUUUGAUAAUUUAGGGGACGAUAAGACCCUACAAGCUUAAUAGAUAUAAGGAUAAUUUUGGGAUUUAAGUUAGUUUGUUUUACUGGGGCGGUGCUGGUAUUUUAACUAUUAGUUAUUUUAGGAUCCUUAAAAUAUAGAUAAAUUGGAGAAGUUACUUUAGGGAUAACAGUGCAAUAUUUUUGGAGAGAUCUUAUCGAUAGGUAUGUUUGCAACCUCGAUGUUGAAUUA